GACGAACGCUGGCGGCGUGCUUAACACAUGCAAGUCGAACGAAGAGCGAUGGAAGCUUGCUUCUAUCAAUCUUAGUGGCGAACGGGUGAGUAACGCGUAAUCAACCUGCCCUUCAGAGGGGGACAACAGUUGGAAACGACUGCUAAUACCGCAUACGAUCUAAUCUCGGCAUCGAGGAUAGAUGAAAGGUGGCCUCUACAUGUAAGCUAUCACUGAAGGAGGGGAUUGCGUCUGAUUAGCUAGUUGGAGGGGUAACGGCCCACCAAGGCGAUGAUCAGUAGCCGGUCUGAGAGGAUGAACGGCCACAUUGGGACUGAGACACGGCCCAGACUCCUACGGGAGGCAGCAGUGGGGAAUCUUCCGCAAGGGACGAAAGUCUGACGGAGCAACGCCGCGGGAGUGAUGACGGCCUUCGGGUUGUAAAGCUCUGUUAAUCGGGACGAAAGGCCUUCUUGCGAAUAGUGAGAAGGAUUGACGGUACCGGAAGAGAAAGCCACGGCUAACUACGUG
rnacentral:rRNA from 1 species